CUUGGUCAUUUAGAGGAAGUAAAAGCCGUAACAAGGUUUCCGUAGGUGAACCUGCGGAAGGAUCAUUAUAGAUAAGAGGGGGGGAAGAUCGAGACUGUCGCUGGCUUGAUUGCAUGUGCACGUCUUUGUCUUCUUCCUUUGUUCGUUCACACCCACACCUGUGCACCUGUUGUAGGUUGCUCGCAAGAGCGAUCUAUGUCUUUCUACAUCCCUUUGUCGUAUGGCUAUAGAAUGUGAUAUAAAUAUAAUACAACUUUCAGCAACGGAUCUCUUGGCUCUCGCAUCGAUGAAGAACGCAGCGAAUUGCGAUAAGUAAUGUGAAUUGCAGAUUUUCAGUGAAUCAUCGAAUCUUUGAACGCACCUUGCGCUCCUUGGUAUUCCGAGGAGCAUGCCUGUUUGAGUGUCAUUUGAAUUCUCAACCAUUGUCUCGCUCGAGUGAUGGAUUGGAUUGUGGAGGUUGCUGGCGGCGACAAGCUGGUCGGCUCUUCUGAAAAGCAUUAGCAAAAGGACCAAGCAAGUCUUGGACGUGCACGGCCUCCGACGUGAUAAUGAUCGUUGAUGGGCUGGAGCGUCUGACAUGCAUGAAUGGAUUCCAUGCUUCUAAUCAUUCUGUGUGCUUAGCUACUAGUUGGUCUACGACGAACGCGGCACCACUUUUGACACCUUGACCUCAAAUCAGGUAGGACUACCCGCUGAACUUAAGCAUAUCAAUAAGCGGAGGAAAAGAAACUAACAAGGAUUCCCCUAGUAACUGCGAGUGAAGCGGGAAGAGCUCAAAUUUUGAAUCUGGCGGUCUUUCGGCCGUCCGAGUUGUAAUCUAGAGAAGCGUUUUCCGCGCUGGACCGUGUACAAGUCUCCUG
rnacentral:rRNA from 1 species